UCCAGACUCCUACGGGAGGCAGCAGUGGGGAAUAUUGCACAAUGGGGGAAACCCUGAUGCAGCGACGCCGCGUGAGUGAAGAAGUAAUUCGUUACGUAAAGCUCUAUCAGCAGGGAAGAAAAUGACGGUACCUGACUAAGAAGCCCCGGCUAACUACGUGCCAGCAGCCGCGGUAAUACGUAGGGGGCAAGCGUUAUCCGGAAUUACUGGGUGUAAAGGGAGCGCAGACGGCAGUGCAAGUCUGGAGUGAAAGCCCGUGGCUUAACUACGGGACUGCUCUGGAAACUGUGCAGCUAGAGUGCAGGAGAGGCAGGCGGAAUUCCUAGUGUAGCGGUGAAAUGCGUAGAUAUUAGGAGGAACACCAGUGGCGAAGGCGGCUUACUGGACUGUAACUGACGUUGAGGCUCGAAAGCGUGGGGAGCAAACAGGAUUAGAUACCCCCGUAAG
rnacentral:rRNA from 1 species